UUUGCUGAGUCGCUCAUAGCAACCAAUCCAUUUUUGAAAAGGUCUCUGGAAAAUGAAAGAAGCGAUCUGAUUGGUUGCUAUGGGCAACUCAACAACCUUUUCUCUGGACAGGUUUUGAUAAAUCUCCCGCAAUGUAUGUGUGUUUGUUCCAGCAUCACUUCCAAAUAGCUAAAGAUGUUUCCAGGAAACUUGGUCACAUGUUACUUAUAUGUCAACUAAAAUGUAGGAUAGGUUAUACAACCCUUACCCAUCCCCACUUGUGAGGUUCAGGGUUUUUGUUUAAAGUCUCAUACAAGUCUAUGGGAAAUAUAUGUUACUGCAUAACUUCCAAACAGCUGGAGAUAUUUCAAUAGUACUUGGUCACAUGUUACUUAUUUGUCCACUUAAAAUAUAGGAUAGUUAAUGUAACCCUAAUCUACUCCCUUACAUGAAGGAUUUCUUUUUUCAAGUCCCAUGCAAGUAUAUAGGACUUCCUUAGGCCCCGUUCACAGAGUAAUUCAAGAGGAAUUUUCUUAAGUAAUUCCUCUUGAAUUCUCUGCUCCAAACUAAUGCUCAGCUCCUCUUCCCAUUUGACUUUAAUGUUUUCUUCCACUGUCCUGUUCUUCCGUUGUUGCUUUUCCUCCCCAACAAGAAUUAGGUAGGAAAAACCGGGCAACGCCUGGUACUCAGAUAGUAUUAGAUAAAGUCCAACAUUUCCUGGGAAAACAUAAUCAAACCAUGGCCAAAUCUGUUGUAACCACGCCCUCAAAGUAAUUAUGUGGCUGCCAGGGCAUGAUGGGAGUUAUACUGCUACAGCAGCUUCUGAAGAGCCACGGGUUGGAGAACACUGCUAUAGAGACCUGUGAUAGCCCCUCUGGAAAAGUGAGGCCAUCCUAUGCAGUACAAUAUGAGGAAUUUCCGCCCUUGUGCAUCAGGAUUCAACCUUGCUUUUGGAUUUUCACCUUUCUGUUGGAUUUUGACCCUUUCUUUGGAUUUACAAUGGCUUUGGUUAAGGAGACCCAGCCUGGAUCCUCUUCUCCUGAUGCUCCCCAGGCUUCUGUAGCACCCCCAUCAGUUUCUCAGCCCCGCCAAGGUUCUCCAACCAUGGAGCCUUGGAUGAAGCAGACCAUCGUGCUCAAGCUAAAGGAAGUCGACGGGAGGAUCCCCGACAUGAGCCAGGAUAUUUUUGGGAAGAAGAUGGUCCUGGAGCAGGGAUUCUCUAAAUCGGAAACAGUAAGCAUCCAGUCCUUUUUCACUGGAAUGUUUUAUGUUACCUUUGCCUCCAUUUGAACCUGUAAACGUUACUGGGAUAUGGUGAACUCUGCGAGGCCAGACUCCCCCUUUGCCCGCUUUGUUGGGAACUGUCCCGUUCAGAGGGAGGAGGACUACAGUUUCAGUGAGGAAUCCACACAUCCCAGGACCCGACAUCACUACCUUCCUGAAGCAUUCUGUACUGUGGUGAAAGAUCCCACCCACAUCCUGGACGGAUAUGGUUUUUGGACUGGCAAGUGGCCAUGAUUGUGCGCCUGAACAAGGACUCUUCAUCCCCAGAUGAGGUUCAACACCUGCCCCAGUCUUUUUCUUUGGGGAACACUUCAGGCCUGAUUUUCUACCCGGACAUGCCGCAAGCCUGCAGGCGAUGUGGCAAGAAGGGCCAUGAGAAUAAGGACUGUAAGGAAGAUGCCUGCAGGUUCUGUUGAGUGCAACCUUUGCGGACAAGCAGCCCAUACCUACAAGGACGUCCCUCAGAGGAAAAGAGCAUGGGCAUCUGUUGCACCAAAAGCCCCAAAGCCAGCCCCAGGUCCGGAGCCAGCAGCACAGAAGGCCAAGGAAAAACCGGCUAAGAAGGAGGAGCUCUUCGCUGAGUCUAUCGGGCAGAAUGAAGAGAUCAAAGGGAUCACCGCAUCGGGACCUGAUCGCUCAACAUGGACGACGUGACCGUCUUCUGCGCUGAUCGGCGUUCGGUGACUGCACUUGUCCAUACCUGAGAGGACUUCGGCAGAGCUUCGGGGGCAAAAGUCAACUGUGGGAAGUCAGAAGCUAUGCUCUUCGGGGAAUGCCACCUGGCUUCUUGCGCCCCCUUCCCUUUUACUGUUAAACCAGACUUCAUCCAAAUCCUCGGAGUCUGGUUCGGGAAGGAACUGGCAAGACCAACUGAAUAAAAUGAACUCAAGGAUCGCACUUUAGAGUACUAGAUAGCUCUCGAUUGAGGACAAAACACUUGUCCUGCGGAGUGAAGUUUUGCCUGUGCUAUAGUACACUGCACAGGCAUGCCCCCCCCUUGCCACCGUUUGCAGGGCCAUCAUCUGGACUGUGUUUAGUUUCAUCUGGGGCAAAAUUUACAGAGUUAAACGGACUGUUAUGUACAAGGAGGCCAGCAAGGGUGGGAAGGGAAUCCCCAAUAUCCCCACUCUGCGGCGGGCUUCUUUUGCAUGUGUCAGCGUGCAGAGGACUUUGGUCGAAAAGAAAGGCUCCGCAGGCAGAUCCAUGUCCCGCCUGUUUCUCCAGCCCCACUGGAAGAGGAUUGGCUGGGACAAGUGGGACAGCUCCAUCCCCUACAACUGGCGCACUCCCUGGUUCUCUGGGGAUGUCGUCCGGUUCAUAGGGGAACACCAACUGGAAGGACUGGAGCCUGACUUGUGGAAGUCUAAGACUGUUUACAAGCUCAUCAGAGCUAAGGACUUGUGGAGCUCAUUCCAGGGCUCCCUAAGGCCACUGCAGAGACUGUUUGGGACAUUGUAGUCUCUGCAAGGCUAACCAAUGGACACAAGGACUUGUCGUGGAUGGCCAUUCAGGGGGGGACUAUCUCUGAGAUCAUUCAUGCAUGCCCGCGGCCUGUGCAAAACCAGGUACUACCCCAGGUGCCCCUAAGUGGAGGAAACAUCUAUGCACGGCUUUUGGCAGUGCCCCUUUGCGCAGGGUCUGUUGAACUCCUUGCCUGCAACAAAUUAACCCACAGGGGUUAAAAAAGACCGCUAUAUUGCAUGUGUCGCACAAAUAAUAAAACUUAACUUUUAUUGUGACCAAAUUAUAUAAUAUACUGUGAGUGAGGAACCAAAAGUAUUAAAAACACAGCUCCACUGUAGUCAUCGAUGCCAUGAUUGCUGUCAGUUGUCUCCUUGAUAAAGCCCCAUAAGUGGCGAAACAUGUCGGGGUGUGACAGUAUUGUAUUUUAAUCUUCAACCCCACUGUAGUCUAUGCUGAAAGAUAGCCGAUCAAUAAGGUUCAGGCCGAAUAGUCCACGCCUGCGGUGCACAGCAGGUGUUAGGUGCUAAGUGUUGUGACAUCUGGAAUAUACUUUAUGUGAUCAAACAUCGAUUUAAUGUCACAUAUAUAAGUGGCUUUAUAGUAGAGUGACUAUUGUCAUCUCUACUCUGGGGAUUAUAAUCCAGCAUCCCCAGAAUUUGCAAUAUCAAGAUCACACGUAUAAAUCUGGGACCAGAGACCUUUGAGUCCAAUUACAUUGAUCCACCAGUAUGGGAUGUCCAAUAUAUGACCUUUAGGCAUAUUUAUAGAAUCGAUGACUACAGCGGAGCUGUGUUUUUAAUACUUUUGGUUCCUCACUCAC